UCGGGAAUUUUGGGCAAUGGCCGAAAGCCUGACCCAGCAACGCCGCGUGAAGGAUGAAGUAUUUCGGUAUGUUAACAUCGAAAGUAUUGGAAGAAUAAAUGACGGUACCAUUUAUAUGCUCCGGCUAACUACGUGCCAGCAGCCGCGGUAAUACGUAGGGAGCAAGCGUUGUUUGGUUUUACUGGGCGUAAAGGGCGCGUAGGCGGCGCGGUAAGUCACUUGUGAAAUCUCUGAGCUUAACUCAGAACGGCCAAGUGAUACUGCAGUGCUAGAGUGUAGAAGGGGCGAUCGAAAUUCUUGGUGUAGCGGUGGAAUGCGUAGAUAUCAAGAGGAACACCUGAGGUGAAGACGAGUUGCUGGUCUAACACUGACGCUGAGGCGCGAAUGCCAGGAGAGCAAACG
rnacentral:rRNA from 1 species